UUUGGGGCACAACAACCCUAUGCAGCGCUACAGACUGGGGGAAGAAUGGCUGGAGAGCUGCACGGAAGAGAAGGACCUGGGGGUGCUGGUUGACAGCCGACUGAACAUGAGCCAGCAGUGUGCCCAGGUGGCCAAGAAGGCCAAUGGCAUCUUGGCUUGUAUCAGAAAUGGAGUCACCAGCAGGUCCAGGGAGGUUAUUCUCCCUCUGUACUCGGCACUGGUGAGACCGCACCUCGAAUACUGUGUUCAGUUCUGGACCCCGCACCACAAGAAGGAUGUUGAGGCUCUGGAGCGUGUCCAGAGAAGAGCAACAAAGCUGGUGAAGGGGCUGGAGAACAAGUCUUACAGGGAGCGGCUGAGAGAGCUGGGGUUGUUUAGCCUGGAGAAGAGGAGGCUGAGGGGAGACCUUAUUACUCUCUACAACUACCUGAAAGGAGGUUGUGGAGAGGAGGGAGCUGGCCUCUUCUCCCAAGUGACAGGGGACAGGACAAGAGGGAAUGGCCUGAAGCUCUGUCAGGGGAGGUUCAGGUUGGAUAUCAGAAAAAAAUUCUUCACAGUAAGAGUCAUUGGGUACUGGAACAGGCUGCCCAGGGAGGUGGUCGAGUCGCCUUCCCUGGAGGUGUUUAAGGAACGGGUGGAUGAAGUGCUGAGGGACAUGGUUUAGGGAGUGUUAGGAAUGGUUGGACUCGAUGAUCCAGUGGGUCCUUUCCAACCUUGUGAUUCUGUGAUUCUUGGACUCUGUGUGCCUAACUGUGUUGUCUUCCACGCAAAUACCAGGAUGGUAGAAAUCCCACAUGAGAACCAGGGCCUGUGAUUCUGAGGCUACUUACAGCUGUCUGUAGAAGGCCUUGUCAACAUGCUCUUCCUGCUCAGCUGGCUUGUAGUACAUACCCACAGCGAUGUCAGCCAUAUUAGCCAGCUCCUUGAUUCUUGCCUAUAAGCUCUUGACUCAUUCUUCAUCCAACUCUAGGCAGAGCUCAAUACAUUCCAGUUGCUUCCUUACAUCAAGAGCAAUUCUACCACCUUGCCUUGCUGCCCUGUCUUUUCUAAAACAUGCAUAGCAGUCCAUGACAGGAUUGUAGUCAUGUGAGCUAUCCCACUGUGUUUCUGUAGUUGCAAUGAGAUCAUAGCCCUACAAGCACACACAGAUCUCUGGUUCCUUCCUGUUUAUUGCUCAUGCUGCGCGCACUGGUGUACAGGCAUUUCAGAGUGAUAAUGCAGUUUUCUCUGCAGUGGUGCAAGAGGAUUCACCAGAGCCAUACAAACCCUUGAGAUGGCUGGUUGCCUGGUUCUUGUAAUAGGGGGUAGCUAAGGAACACCUGCUGCUGCUCUGGUUGACUUGGCUUAUUCCACAAUGGAUGCAAUGUCAUGAGCAUUGCUAUUUUGGACCCCAGCCCCCCUGCCCCAGCCUGAAUCCUUCAGAUUAAAGCCCACCUUACCAGACUGACUGGCCUGCUGUGAAAAAUUCCCUUGCCUCUUCCAGAUUGGUGGAUUCUAUUCCUCCCUAACAGGUUAUAGGUAUUGGAGAAUGUCCCGCUGCCGUAAAAGCCAAAACCCUCACAAUGGCACUAGCCACUUAGCCAGGAGCUGACAUGCAUAUUAUGUCUGUUUCUGGCUGUGCUUACAAUUAAGGCUGCUAGUGGGAUUUUCAUAGCCAAAUGGGCCACUCUGAAUAAGUUCUUUUCUGCAUCAUAGUAGUGGCAUAGGCAACAAGGAAUGAUUUUCCUUUCUGAUGCAGGAGCAGGACUGAAAUCAGUGAAAUCGGUAAAAGACUUUCUGUUGAAUCCAGCCAGUUAUGAAAGGCAGUAGUCUUAUACAUGGACUCGCCUAUACCCUGCUUUGUACCUUUACAUCUUACCCACAUAUAGCUCUGUGUCUUUUAGAAAUAAAAAUCUUGUAUUUAUACCGUAUUACUCAGUGUUUCCUUUAGUUUGACUAAGAGAAUGAAAAAUCAGGUCCAGUAAUUUUUUCCUGCUUUGCUAAAGAACAGACGAUAGAACAAUAGAAGAGGCAACAAACUUCACAGAAUGCAGAACUGAGCGCCAAGGGGCUAUGUAGUAUUUAUCAGGAAGCAUCAGCAGGCUACAUAAUACUAGAUGUUUUUUUCAAGUAUAACCAGAGAUGGUGAAAAUUGUCACUGUUCAUUACACUUACAAUGCAUUAAACUUAGAUUAGGGCAUCUGGAUUUCACUUUUAUUCAUUUAUGUUACUCUUGUGCCUAGGACCCUUGUAAUGGUGUAAGGAAUAGGACACUCUUCAGUAAUUCUCUUCAGUGGCAGAAAUUCCAUCACAGUCUCGGCAUGAGACUUACACUCUGACAAGACCUGGUGAACUACAUGCUGGUCAGUCUCGCCUGGAAAGAUCAUGGAGCAGAUCCUCCUGGAAACUCUGCUGAGACACAUGGAAACUAAGGAGGUGGCUGGUGACUACCAACGUGGCUUCACUAAGGGCAAAUAGUAUCUGACAAAUUUGGUGGCCUACAAUGAGGCGAGAGCCAUUGUUGGAUAAGAGAACAGUAACUGACAUCAUCUACUGGGACUUGGGCAAAUCAUUCAACUCUGUCCCACAUGACAUUCUUGUCUUUAAAUUGGAGACGUGGAUUUGAUGGAUGGACCAUUCAAUAGAUAAGGAAUUAGCUGGAUGGUCACACCCAAAGAGUUGUGGUCAAUGUCUCAGUGAAGACCAGUGACGAAUGGCUUUCCACACGUGUUGGUAUUGGGAUCAAUGUUGUUUAGCAUCUUUGUUGCAGACAUGAUUAGUGGGAUUGAGGGCAUCUUCUGCAAGUUUGUCGAUGACACCAAGCUGUGUGGUGCAGUCAACACACUGGAGGGAAGGGAUGCCAUUCAGAGGGACCAGGACAGGCUUGAGAUCUGGGCCUGACUGAACCUCAUGUUCAACAACACCAAGUGCAAAACGCUGCGCCUGGGUUGGGACAAUCCCAAACACAAAUACAGACUGGUCAGAAAACGAAUUGAGAGUAGCCCUGAGGAGAUCAGCAUGAGUCAGCAAAGCAUGCUUGCAGCCCAGAAAGACAACCAUAUCCUGGUCUACAUCAGAGGAAGUGUGACUGGCAGCUUGAGAUCUUCCCCAUCUGCUCUCAUGAGACCUCACCUGGAGUACUGCAUUCACUUCUGGGGUCCCCAGCACAGGAAGGACAUGGAUCUGUUAGAGUGCAUCCAGAGGGAUGGAUGUGAUCUAUCUGGACUUCUGUAAAGCCUUUGACACGGUCUCCCACAACGUCCUUCUCUCUAAAUUGAAGAGAUAUGGAUUUGAUGGGCGGAAUCUUCAGUGUAAAAGAAACUGGUUGGACAGUUGUAUUCAGAGAGUAGUGGUCAAUGGCUCGAAGUCCAGAUGGCGAUCCGUGACAAGUGGUGUCCCUCAGGGGUCCAUACUGGGAUCAAUGCUGUUUAAUAUCUUCAUCAGUGAUACAGACAGCAAGAUUGAGUGCACCCUUGGCAAGUCUGCCUAUCACACCAAGCUGAGUGAUGCAGCUGUCACACCAGAAGGACAGAAUGUCAUCCAGAGGGACCUGGACAGGCCUGUGCAAACCUCAUGAGAUUCAACAAAGCCAAGUGCAAGGUCCUAUACCUGGGUCAGGGCAAUCCCUGAUUUCAGGAUGAUGUGACUGGGAGCUGCCCUGCAGAGAAGGACUUGGAGGUGCUGGUUAAUGGGAAGCUCGACAUGAGCCAGCAAUGUGCGCUCACAGCCCAGAAGGCCAACCAUAUCCUGGGCUGCAUCAAAAGAAGCAUGGCCAGCAGGUCGAGGGAGGUGAUUCUGCCCCUCUAUUCCUCUCUGAUAAGACCUCAUCUGGAGUAUUAUUUCCAGUUCUGGAAUAGUCAACAUAAGAAGGAUAUGAAGCUGUUGGAAUGAGUGCAGAGGAGGGCUACAAAGAGGAUCAGAGGGCUGGAGCACCUCCCUUAUGAGGUCAGGCUGAGAGAAUUGGGCUUGUUCACCCUGGAGAAGAGAAGGCUCCGAGGAGACCUUAUAGCGACCUUCCAGUACCUGAAAAGGGCCUACAAGAAAGCUGAGGAGGGACUGUUUACAAAGGCUUGUAGUGAUAGGACUAUGAGCAAUGGGUAUAAACUGGAGAGGGACAGAUUUAGACUAGACAUAAGGAAGAAUUUCUUCACCAUGAGAGUGGUGAGGUACUGGAACAGGUUGCCCAGGGAAGUUGUGGAUGCCCAAUCAUUGGAAGUGUUCAAGGUCAGGUUGGAUGGGGCCUUGGGCAGCCUGAUCGAGUGGGACGUGUCCUUGCCCAUCGCAGAGGGAUUGGAACUGCAUGAUCUUUAAGGUCUCUUCUAAUCCAAACUAUUCUAUAAUACUAUGAUUCUAUGAUCCUUAUGCAGCAGAAACUCAGUUUAAACUUUAUUUCUUGUCGUGAGUCAGGGGAGUGUUCUUUUCAAAGCUGUAUCUAUUCAAACAUUAAAUGUAUCAAUACAUGUGUUCUUUCUAUAAAAAAAUGUCAGUAAUAUUUUAACAAAUUGUACUUGAUGUUAUUUUUGUGUACAAGUGAUUAACAGUGCUUUUUAUGCUUUACCCAAAUUGUUUUCUUCAUUACUUGUGUUCAGUUACAGUCUCAGAGAAUUACUAUCCACUGUGUGAUAAAUAACUUAUUGAAACUAUUCCAAAACAAAUAGUUUUAUAAACAUUUACCAUUUCAAACCAAUUAUAUAAUUUGAAAAGGUCUAAUUAUUUAUGGCUUCACCUCUUGCCUUAAAAUUUUAAAGAUAUGUAGAUUAAGGUGGGGUUUUUUGCAGUUACAAGUACCACUUUAAACAUCUGUAAAUUGCUGAACAUAAAUCUGAGUUGCUCUUAUAUUUCAAGCAAAACUUUGGCUCUUGUGUUCUCAGGGCAACGACUGUGAGUAAUUUUGCACACUAUCCUGUGUUUUACAAUGGCUGGUUGCAGAUAUUAAUGGAAAACUGUGCCAGGAAAAAAACACAUAUGGAGAUAACCAGUUACUAAUCCCUGAAGAAGUCUGCCUAAUUAUAUUUUAAUGUGUUUAUGCAUCUGUUGUGGUGAUGAGUCCUGCAGUGUUCUGUGUAAUAAUUUCUUUUUCCUUUGUUUUUGAUUGUAACUUACCCUUCUUAACUUUUGUACUAUGAGAAAUGCUAUUAUUUUGUAUUCAACUUUUCUGUCUGCAUUUAUGAUUUCGUGGACCUAUGUCAAAUUAUAAUGAUGUAUCUUUCUUCUAAACAGG